CGAUAUUUCGGUGGUCGAAAGAAAUUGAUCGCGAUUCGUUCAAAUACGACCUAUAUGAAUUUUGAGAGGAGAAUGUAUCGUUUAGUAAAUUGUAAUAGAGAAGAAUGUUGUCUUAAAUAUAAAAUUCGAUGCCCUAUGGGAGCGAAUGAAUAUAUUGAUCAUGAUAUAGUAGAUGAUGAAUCAUUGGAGGGUUUAAUUGGAUUGUCUGAAUGUUAUGGAUGUGUGUCGUUAUAUAUCGAGAAAGAUUUAUAUCCGUCGGAGACACAAUAUCAGUCGCAAGGUUAUUACACAAGUC
rnacentral:lncRNA from 1 species